rnacentral:rRNA from 1 species
GGACCAAGGAGUCCAGAGAACGAGCGUGAAGCAAAGGAUCAUUUUAUUGAAUCCGUCAAACUUAACGAAAGCAAUAACAACAACUUGUUUGUUUGUAUGAUGAGACGAGAACGAAAUGUGCAUACAUUAUGUGUAUAUUAGUUCGAGUCUAGGCAAUACGAAGAUGGCAAUUAUGUAUUUUGUGUAUGCAAAAUACUGCCGUACUUGUAGCUCGUGCUCUGGAACCCGAAAGAUGGUGAACUAUGCAUGAAAAGGAUGAAGCCAGGGGAAACUCUGGUGGAGGUCCGCAAUGGUUCUGACGUGCAAAUCGAUCAUCAGAAUUUUGUAUAGGGGCGGAAGACCAAUCGAACCAUCUAGUAGCUGGUUCCUUUCGAAGUUUCCCUAAGGAUAGCUGAGGUCUAGUAAAAGAUAGUCACAUGCGGUAAAGCGAAUGAUUAGAGUCGUUGGGUUCGAAACGUUCUCAACCUAUUCUCAAACUGUUAAUGUGUGUGUUCUCCAUUAGCUAUCAAGUGCACAACACAUAAGUAGCAAACGGAUAGAUAGUAGAGGCCUUUAGUGGGCCAUUUUUGGUAAGCAGAACUGGCGAUGCGGGAUGAACCGGUCGUAAAGUUAUAGUGCCAAAAUCAACGCAUAUCGGACCCCACAAAAGGCGUUAGUAACUAAAGACAGCAGGACGAUGGCCAUGGAAGUCGGC